CAACCUCAGGAAAUAAUAGAUUCCUUUCUCUAUUCAGAAAGUUCAUCCCAUCCUGUCCCUAGACUUUAAUUUAAACAAAGCAUGAAAAACAAACCCAGUUUCCUUAUUGGCUUGUGAAUGGCAAGCAUGCCACUUAUACCUUGUACCUUUCAUUCUCCAAUGGGGAGAGAGAAUGGAAGAAGAGAAGCAAAAAAUUCUCAGGGUGUCAGUGAUCACAUAAAGGUGGGCUGCAGUUCCACCACCCACACAGCAUUCAGAUCAAGGAGAGACAGGGCUGCUGAGAGCUCACCAACACUCCUGCUGGCGCUCCUUGUCAUGGGCAUCUUUGCUGAUCUCUGUAAGGCUCAAGAGUUACGAUGUCAGUGUAUUCAGAUGCAUUCUGAAUUUAUUUCUCCCCAAUUCAUUGAAACAUUAUAGUUGAUACCCGAAGGUGUUCAAUGCAGCAGAAAAGAAAUCAUUUGCCCCAAUUUUGUGUGAAACAGACACAUCAUCUCACAGUAGUUUGCAGGAUGUGGGCUGGGUUCUCUGCUUGGAGUUUCAUAAAGCUAACAACAAGGUGUCAGCUGAACUAAAGUCUCACCUGGAGGCUCCAGAGUCACACUGAAAGAUGGGCAAUUAGUUUGUUUGGAUCCUGAGGCCAAAUGGGUGAAGGUUCUUCUUGAAAAGGUCCCUUAACUGAUGACACAAGAAACACCACAUUCAAUGAUUAGUAGGAGCCCUUUGUAUCGCUGUGAGGUUGGACAUACUCCAGAAUGUUCUCUAAAGGUGGUUCCAUCUUCUUGCUAAUUAAAGACUGGAAUGAAUGGCUUUA